UUUGAAAUAAUGUACUUUCCACCAAUAAAUUACAUACCAGCAAAUUACUAAUAAAAUGGCAUAUAUUCAUCAUGCCCUGCAUAAUCAUUUUAUUGGAAAGUCUAAAAAUGCUUUUUUAAUUUUUAAGAUGACAUAAGAAAGAUGUGGUCUCAUUCAGUGUUCACUUGAAAUUAUAUUUGCUGUGUGAUAUUUCAGGCAGGUAGACAAGCAACCACCCAAGAGCUAAUGGGCAGCCGAGCGACGAUCCUGAGACAGUAGCCAAGUGCCCCUGUAGCUGGCGCCGUCACCAGGGGCCCACGAGAUGGAUGGAGGCGGUGGGAAGGCGAAAUGAAUAAGACACCUGGUGAUGGUGAGAAUACUGAUGCUGGACUGAUGAACGUGCCAACUCCACUGAUACCUCACCAUAUUUGUUUUACAUAGAGCAAUCCAAUAUUUUUAUACACUUAUGAAGUUUAUUAUCAAUAAGCAUAUUAUUUAUUAUUUAAGAGCAUAAAAACCGCCCAGAAAUUUUGGAUUAAGAAGGAGAUCAGUCACUGGUAUAAAAUAAGGGAUAGCUUAUCUUUCUACAUUUAUAUUCUCCACAUACAACUGGCAAGCAAACUGCACAAGGCUGAGUGGGAUUUCCUGGACAACAAAUGUAGGGAACAACUUUUUAGGAGAUUGAGUGAGAAAACAGUCACUCAAAACAAAAAACUGCAGAAACUUCUCAAAGAUCAACAUCCGACACUAAAUAAUAGGCCUAUCAUUCAACAUCAACACAAGUUUGCUGAUAGGGUAGCUAAUUUCUCACAAGUCCAAUUUUCAUCCUCAGAGACAGAGUUACUAGGACGAGGUAACAAAUACAGUAGUCAUAACUAUUUGGAUAACCAACAACUUGAACGACUAGCAUGCAGCAUUGAUAGCAAUUGGGAAGCCUCAAAGA